ensembl:lncRNA
AUGGGAGGAUGCUCGGCUCCCAACUGCUCCAACUCGACCACCAUCGGCAAGCAGCUCUUUCGCUUCCCCAAAGACCCGGUGCGCAUGAGGAAGUGGGUCGUUAACUGCCGCCGCGACUUCGUCCCGACCCCGUGCUCCAGACUGUGCCAGGUCAGUCAGUCAGUGCGUCCUGUCAGCGAAGUGAAGGAGAGAGAGAGAGAGUGUGUGUGUGUGCGUGCGCGCGCGCGGCUCAGUCCGUCCCUCAUCUUCUUCUUCUGUUCUGGUGUCUCACAUUUGUGCUCGUCUCUGGCGAACCGGGCGCGGGCCGCCGCUGCUCAGGACCACUUCGAGGAGAGCCAGUUCGAGGAGGUGGCCCGCUCGCCGGCCGGCGGCAGGAAGCUCAAGCCCAACGCCGUCCCCACGCUCUUCAACGUGCCCGACCCGCCGUCCCCGAUCGGCGCGCUCACGCUGACACACCCCAAGCGCGAGCAGGUUGAGAAGGAGCAGAACGUGGGCGAUCAUGGCUACGCCCGCAGGCAGCCUCGCGGCGAGGCGGAGGAAGGCGAAGGUGGGCAGCGGCCCGACGAGGAGCGCUCCUGUUCCCUGUGUCAGCAAUACAAGGCACAGCUGGAGCAGCAGCAGCAGCAGACGGCGCGGCUGCAGAAGGAGGCCGAGGAGAUGAAGAAGAAACUGCACAAGCUCAACAAAAUAGAGAAGGGCCUCCAGAUGUUUCUUUUCGAGGACCAGAUUCGGGCCCUGACUCUGGCCAAGCGGUCACGGAGGGCCGUCUGGUCCCAGGACACGGUGCUGACGGCCCGCAGGAUCCGGUGCGCCGUGGGCGUGAAGGGCUACGAGUUCCUGCGUGAGCUGGGCUACCCGCUGCCCUCCUACAGGACCCUGUGCAAUCGCUUGGAACCCAAAAUCAUGGUGCCUGCAGCCAUGCAGGAGGAACUGGCCGAGCUGGGCCUCGGCAUCAUAUCCACCUGCGACAGUCCUGAGGAGAGCGGCCCCGGUGACGAUGCCCUCCUCGGGGUCAUCUCGUAAAGCGCGGGAGGACUGCUGGCCUCGUGGCUUCGGGAAGCACUGUGAGAAACCCGGGCUGUGGGUGGAGGCGCUGAACUUGCACCGGCUGCUAACGCGGCCAGUUAAAGGUCCCUUUGCAUUCAGGACGCCAUGAAAGUAACGCGUUACAAUAAUAUUGAGCUCCGCGGUUCGAGCGCUUGUACCCUUAACAUGGCUUCUGAAGGUGUUUCCUAAAGACCGUAUAUUUGUAUCUGUGCUUAAAAGAUAAGAUAUUUUUUUAUGACCGGGAACGUUCUGAGUUCCCUUGGUAAACUUUGUUUGCUUUAGUCACUUUUGUUUCCUUAGUCUCUUUCUUAAUUCAAGUUUCUUAGGGGGGUGUGAUAAUGAGUCUGAUCACAUGUGUCAAUUUGCAUAAGAAUAUUUCACAUCAUCAUCUUGGAUAAAUAAUAAGAGAAUAAGUCGGUUGUUUGAUUACUGUGAAUGUGUACAGCAUUACCAGUGUGUUUUGGAGAUUCCGUAAGGAGCUGCAGCGCUACAGACCGAAGUGCUCGGAUCCAGUACGUUAAAGGCUCCCGUAUGUUGAACACUAUGUUACUUGUUGCAAUAUGUCCCCCCCCCCCCUCCUUUAUUUAGCCUCUUUUGUUAGAGUUAUCCAGCACAAUGUUGUUUGUAAAUAGUAGGACUGUCGAUAUCAUGCUCAUUUAGGGUAAAAACACUUCUCUCUGAGUUCUCCUGUGUUUCAUCUUAAGUCUGUUCAUUUUUCUGCUCGUCUGUGUGGGCACAGGUAAGGUAAUCCAAAGUGAAAAGGUUAUGGAAGACAAACAUUUUGCAGCAGGCUUAACAAGGAAUUAUACUGUGCAGAGUCAAGCAUGUGGUAACAAAAGCAGUGGUAGUGUAUUCAAUGAAAAAUAAAAUCUACCUUUGACAGUGGUGGUUUUUUUAC